AGCGAACGCUGGCGGCAGGCCUAACACAUGCAAGUCGAACGAACCUUUCGGGGUUAGUGGCGGACGGGUGAGUAGCACGUGGGAACGUGCCUUUAGGUUCGGAAUAACUCAGGGAAACUUGUGCUAAUACCGAAUGUGCCCUUCGGGGGGAAGAUUUAUCGCCUUUAGAGCGGCCCGCGUCUGAUUAGCUAGUUGGUUGAGGUAAUGGCUCACCAAGGCGACGAUCAGUAGCUGGUCUGAGAGGAUGAUCAGCCACAUUGGGACUGAGACACGGCCCAAACUCCUACGGGAGGCAGCAGUGGGGAAUCUUGCGCAAUGGGCGAAAGCCUGACGCAGCCAUGCCGCGUGAAUGAUGAAGGUCUUAGGAUUGUAAAAUUCUUUCACCGGGGACGAUAAUGACGGUACCCGGAGAAGAAGCCCCGGCUAACUUCGUG
rnacentral:rRNA from 1 species